CUACAGGGGGCAGCAGUGGGGAAUAUUGGACAAUGGGGGAAACCCUGAUCCAGCAAUGCCGCGUGUGUGAAGAAGGCCUGCGGGUUGUAAAGCACUUUCGGUUGGGAGGACUGCUUCUAGCACUAAUAUUGUUGGAAGUUGACGUUACCUUCAGAAGAAGCACCGGCUAACUCCGUGCCAGCAGCCGGCGGUAAUACGGAGGGUGCAAGCGUUAAUCGGAAUUACUGGGCGUAAAGCGCGCGUAGGCGGCUAGAUCAGUCGGGUGUGAAAGCCCCGGGCUUAACCUGGGAACUGCAUCCGAUACUGUCUAGCUUGAGUACAGGAGAGGAGAGUGGAAUUCCACAUGUAGCGGUGAAAUGCGUAGAUAUGUGGAGGAACACCAAUGGCGAAGGCAGCUCUCUGGCCUGAUACUGACGCUGAGGUGCGAAAGCGUGGGGAGCAAACAGGAUUAGAUACCCUAGUAGUC
rnacentral:rRNA from 1 species